GAUGAACGCUGGCGGCGUGCCUAAUACAUGCAAGUCGAGCGAACAGAUGAGGAGCUUGCUCCUCUGACGUUAGCGGCGGACGGGUGAGUAACACGUGGAUAACCUACCUAUAAGACUGGGAUAACUUCGGGAAACCGGAGCUAAUACCGGAUAAUAUAUUGAACCGCAUGGUUCAAUAGUGAAAGACGGUUUUGCUGUCACUUAUAGAUGGAUCCGCGCCGCAUUAGCUAGUUGGUAAGGUAACGGCUUACCAAGGCAACGAUGCGUAGCCGACCUGAGAGGGUGAUCGGCCACACUGGAACUGAGACACGGCCCAGACUCCUACGGGAGGCAGCAGUAGGGAAUCUUCCGCAAUGGGCGAAAGCCUGACGGAGCAACACCGCGUGAGUGAUGAAGGUCUUCGGAUCGUAGAACGCUGUUAUUAGGGAAGAACAAAUGUGUAAGUAACUAUGCACGUCUUGACGGUACCUAAUCAGAAAGCCACGGCUAACUACGUG
rnacentral:rRNA from 1 species